GCCUUAAAAAAGGGGUUGCAUGGUUGAAAAAAUGUGGGACCUAUUGCAUUUAACAGAGUUAAGCAGGAUUUCUUCCUCCUGUUUCUUCUGUAGUCAUUAAAUCUGAUGUUACUUGCAUUUUGAUGUGGCCCAGGUGGGCAGGAGACAUAGAGAUGAGUAUUUCCUUUUAGCCAUUUUAGGUAGAUACUCCUUCAGUUCAAAGUGAAUGAAUACCUCUCUCUCUUCCCCUCCACUUAUAAUGUAAAGUUAUACUUUAACCUUGUUCAGCAUGGUAGAGACAGGCCUGGCUUCACGUUUGGACUCAGUCAUUUCCUAUCGCUGUGGCAAUCCAUAACCCAAAGACUCAUCUAAGCUUUGCUUUUCUCACCUGCAAAAAGGGAAGGAUAAAUCCCAUCCCAUAGAAUUGUUGUGAGGACUGAGAAUUAGCAUGACAAGCAACAAGUGAGAACUCAAUAAAUGUUAGUUAUUUCCUCUCCUUCAGAGUUGAAAAUGAUAGUAAUACUAACAGCAAUAACAAUAAUAGCUAAUACCUACACCAUGCAAACCACUGUGCUAGGUUAACUCAUAUUACAUGUUUCCCCAUUUAAUCUUUACUACAUACAACCAUAAGAAGUAAAAGUCAUUAUUAACUUCAUUUUACAGAUGAGGAAAACAGGCAUGGGGAGCAAUUUACUAAGUGGCCAAUCUAGGAUUCCGGCUUCAUUUUUGAGGGCUGGUUGGGGUUACUGGGAUGUGUACUGGAAACACUACAACACACAUGACAUGGGCCCUUGUAAAUAUUAUGUUGGAAAUGGCUUAAUUUUGCUUUUUCUCUGAUAAUAGUUGAUCUGGAUGUAAAAUUGUAAGUUGAUUGUUAUUUUGUUUUCCAUCAGCAGUUUUUUAAGAUUUGUCUCCAUAGCUGUGUGACUUAUCUUACUGCUGAUUAAAUGUUUCACUGUAACCAGUUACAGGUGUAGGUAAUCUCUGUUUUUAUUGUGGUUGCUCAUUAUUCUUUAUGUUCUGCAGUUGUAUUCUGGUGAAUAUUUAUCCUUGCACUUGGUCACUAGCACUCAAAACCAUAACUUUAAAUUUUAGAACAAUUUUCUAUUUACAGAAUUAUUGAGAAGAUAAUAUAGAGUUCCCAUAAAUGCCACACCCAGUUUACCCUAUGAGUAGCUUAUAUUUUUACUGUUCAUUUGUCCACAGUAAUGAACCGAUAUUGAUACAUUAUCAGCAUUAGCUAAAGGCCAUACUUUAUUCAGAUCUUCUCAAAUUUUCUUCUAAUGUCCCUUUUUCUCCAUCCCAGGAUAUAAUAUUACAUUUAGUCAAAUGUCUCCUUAGAUUUCUUUUGGUUGUGGCAGUCUCCCAGACUCAUCUCUCUUUUUUUUUUUUUUUUUUUUUCAGCCAUGCACACAGCAUGUGGAAGUCCCUGGGCCAGGGAUUGAACCUGGGCCACAACAGUGACCCAAGCCACUGCAGUGACAAUGCUGGAUUCUUAACCAAUUGCACACAAGGGAACUCCCAUUUCCAAGAUUUCUAAUCAGUUAUUUUUUUCUCUUCCUGUUGCUAUUUCAUUCAUGAGUCAGAUCCACUAGCCAGCUGGUAGCUUGGUUAAAGUCCUAGUCUUUAGGCUGUGUCUGUCUUUACAUAUUUCCUUAACCUCCGAAAGUGGGUCAGCAAUUUUUUUAAAAGUACACAUUACAUAAAAUGGUAGUGAAGAGCUUGUCUCAGCCCUGGGUUUUAAGCAGUGACCCAGUGUUCCCCAGACUUAAUCAUUUUUACACCCAGAAACUGAAUUUCAACAAUCAUUUCACUGUGUUGGUUGGAAACCCCAAUAUAUUUAUUCUUACGGUUUUUUUAAAAAAAUCACACCAAAAGCUACAAAUUUCUUUUCUGCAGUAGUAAUAUAAAGCUUUGUUUUGUUUUGUUUUUCUUUCUUGGCCACCCCUUGGCAUAUAGAUCCUUGGCCAUGGAUCAGAUCCACAGUUGUGACUUAUGCCACAGCUUAGGUUAAUCCACUGUGCCAGCUCUGGGAUCAAAUCUACAUCCCAGAGCUGCAGAGAUGCCACUGAUACCAUUGCACCACAGUAGGAAUGCCUAUAAAGGUUUCUUUUAAAAUAUAUUCAUUUAUUAAAAUAAAUCAUUUAGAGAAAAGUACAAAGUAAAUAAUAGUGCAGAAUAAAAUAAAAAUGACUGAAGUUUAAGUGACCUAGCACUGAGUUGUACUGAGAGUCUGCAGUUCAAAGGCUUUUGGCAGAAUAGGUUCUAAAAGCUAGAUCUCCUUUUGGGGUGGGGGACGUGCAUAACCUGCAGCAUGUGGAAGUUCCCAGACUGAGGAUUCGAUCCCUGCCACAGCAGCGACAAUGCCAGAUAAUUAACUGCUAGGCCACCAGGGAACUCCUAGAAACUGGAUCUCCUAAUAAUCCAAGUCCUUACACUGGGCAUUAUCUACACAGUAAUCUGGGCAGAUUUUCCAGUGUAGCUGAUGAAUGUCUGUCACCAUUUCGCAGUAGGACAUAAGUUUGGAGGGGUCACAUGUCGAGUGACGCUGAGGUAAUGAAUAUGGAAGCUACUGGUUGGUGGGACAUGAAAAUUAGAGCUUUCUCAGAGGCCUGCUUGAAGGGACCCAGCAAUUCACGUGGACUAGUCAAGGACAGCCAUGCCACAUGGUGAGGAGGUCAUGGUACUGAUGCUUGGUGUUAAGGAUGGGGAAUCCUGGAUCCCCUUCCUGGCACAACGUCUGAAUCUGAGGUUUGGGGAUAAAUGACUUGUCUGCUCCAGAGGUGACUCACUGCAUUUUGGAAAUUCUCAGUUACAGCCUGCACUUUAAGAAAAAUUAUUAUUAUCAUCUCUGACUAAUAACUAGCAAACUCAAAGUGAGAAAUAACUCAGUGGAGAUGAAGAGAAAGUUCCUUUUUAAAUCUUCAUAUUGAACUACAAUGUACAAUAAGGUAAAAGCAGAAAAAUGUAGAUAACAUAUCUUAGAAUAUUAACUAGGUAAUUAUGCCAAUUAACAUUUAAUUUUAUCUAUGCCCAUCACAUUUUUCUAUAAUAGCAUCAUAGGUAACAGUUAUUGCUAUAGACUUCUGAAAGUUAAUUAAAAUCACUGAGACAGAACCAACAAAAGUCUAUUCUUUAAGAAAAAAAAAUGAAGUUUAAAUAAUCAAUUUUCCACUCUGAAAAUUUACUCCAAAUGGAAACUUUGAGAGCCAGAGACAGCUUUUUUCUUUCCUGUCAACUGCCUUAUCAUGAGACUCUCCUUGCUAAACUUCCCCUGGUGCUCACUGAGGCAGAGUCUACGUACAAGGCCAUGAUAGGGUGGGUGCUGUCACCGUGUCCCCCACACUUCUGAUUCCUGGUUCCUCACUUAAUGCAAAGGACCACCUGCCAUGAAAUGGACUUCCUCCUGGCUCUCCAAACUCAGCAAUGGCAGCUCAGGUGAGUUCUGGGUUUCCAUUCCAUCUGGAGUCCUGGAUGGAGGGUCAAGCAGAGGUGAAAAACUAAAAUGCGCAGGUUGAAAUUUCCUCAUGGUUCGCUUCUAAAGGGGGCUAUGGAUCCCAGGGAGCAGUCUGCACUAUGCCUGCACACCAAAGCUGCUCUGAUGAUGGGGCGGCCCUAUCAAGAGUCUGGGAACCAGGGCUUGGGAUGGAUGGGAAACCUUGUCUGUAGGGGCCUGGCAUAUCCUGGGGUGUCUUCUAGACUGCCAGCUCUGCGCUUGAGGCUAAACUUUUGUUUCUAUCUCCUUUAUAAAAACCAAGCCAGUAUAAUUCAGGGCCCAUCUUCUCGCCUUCCAGAGUCACAUAACCACUUUUUGUUCAGGUUAUCUGUGAAGUAAUUCUCAGAGCAUUUUGAUGGAAAAGAAAGUUUAGCCACUGCUAAACGCAGACUCCGUCAUUUCUUUCUUUCUUUUUUCUUUUUCAGCCACCCCGUGGCAUAUGGAGUUCCUGGGCCAGGGAUCAGAUCCAAGCCACAGCUGGAGCAACACCAGAUCCUCAACACCAGAUCCACUGUGCUGGGCCAGGGAUCCAACCUGUGUCUGUCCCAUUGCUCCAGAGAUGCCACCGAUCCUGUUGCACUGCAGCAGGAACUCCAGCCUCCUUUAUUUCUGAGUAGGCUGCAGAAAGGCAUAUUUCUCCUUUCUUGAUUGGGCUCAAUAAUCUUUGCUCAGAAAACUAAAGUGACAAAUCUAUACAGAACUUGUGUUUACAGGUCUGCAACUACAUUAGCUAAACUUCUUAUCCAUCUUUAAGUAAGUGCCCAGGAUCCACUAAUUCUACCAAUUGGCUGUGAUAGCAGAUGUUUGGAAUAUGUUUCCUUUGUCUUCUAUUGAAUAUCAAUCAGUCAAUUGAUUGAUCUGUCAGUAUUUAUUGGCCAUCUCUCACAGCCAUGCCACUGUAUUAGAGAGGUGUACUGAGCUAUGAAGAACAUGGCUAAGUCUGGAAAACCUUUGAGUGUUUUGCCUUAUCUGAUCCCCACUGCCAUACCUGUGACUGCUUCCCCUUCCUGGGACCCAAGAGCGAACAUUUUUGAACAUUUUGAAUGUCUGAUAAUACUUACCUUGAUCUUCUUGCAUUCUUUUUCUUUGUGCACUUGCCCUGCCUCUUUCCAGGACCACUGGUUCCAAGAGACAGAGAUAAUGUCUAAUUCAUUUUUCAUUCCCUGUAAUCUCUGGCACAGGACCUAGCAUCCACUAGGUCUCAAAAAUAUUUAGUGUAUUAUUUUAUCAGCCCUAGCCCCUAAUUACAACAUGCGAUAUUUGUAAAACCAUCAGGUAUAAUUCACACCUGGCAUUUCUGAUUAUUUUGGAACGACGACUAAAAAAUUGACUUCUUUCUUUGCACAUCCAUUUUUUGAUUCAUGUGAGUGUUUUAAAACAACCCAAAUAAGCCAACCUACUUUCGAUCAACUUAUGUUUGAUUUUUUAAAAAUUAUAUAAACUAGUUUCAUUUUUAUAGCCCAAACUAAAAUACAUCAUUAAAAUUAAAGUAAUUCUACAGGAGUCCCAUUAGUGUAUUUAAAGCCAAAUGUUGAUAAUAAUGGUAUUUACUUACUGAAAUUUAGCAGUAUUCAUUCAGAACCAACAUGUAGCCUUAACUGCCUUAGACCAAAGAAUACAAGUUGCCUUAAGUUUCUGUACUCUAAUUAGGUAGAAAAAUAAUUUCUUUUCCUCUUAUUAACUGUCUCCUUUCCAUUAUAUUCCAUAUCAUUUUAAGCAGAACAUCCUUUUGAAAGAGUUAAUGGAAUCCUAAGGUCUUACCUGAAGGUCAAAAAAGGAUAAAUCACUGUUACUUAUAAAAGAAAAAAAAAAAGAGAGAGCCCAGUAGUUGCAACACUGUGAAGUCUAUCUUGUAAGCAUAACUCCUAUAUAUAUCUGAAAAUUGAUUUCUUUCAUCCAUUUGCCAAUGCCUUGGCAUGAGCAAGGCAACAGGAUUCAAUCAGAAAGAUUUCAUGGAGAAUG
rnacentral:lncRNA from 1 species